UCAUAAUAACAUUUUUUAAAUGUCUAACAUAAAAAGGGGGAUGUAGACAAAAUUUUACACUGAAAAA